UUUUUUAACUUUUUUUGUAUGAAGCGUUUUGUUUUACUCCUCAAACACGUACAUUCUGCAUUAUGAUUGCUUAAAAUAACAAUGUGCAUUAUGAGUAUUAAAAAUAGGUUCAUAUUUUUUAACAGAUGUUGUGGUACGGAAAACCUGGAAUGUUUUAAUACUAGCUGUUAAAAGACCAAUCCUUUGAAGGAAUAUUUUUCCAAACCUACGAAAUAUUUGAUUUACAAGUGGAUAACAAAUAGCCCUCAAUAUGUUGAUAUAAAAAACUUAUCCAGUUAUGUAAAUAAUAUAUGUUCUAAUGAUGUCAGAUAACGUAUACAUGUAUUCUAUACAGAUA
rnacentral:lncRNA from 1 species